CGAACGGGUGAGUAAUACAUCGGACGUGCCCAGUCGUGGGGGAUAACUACUCGAAAGAGUAGCUAAUACCGCAUACGAUCUGAGGAUGAAAGCGGGGGACCUUCGGGCCUCGCGCGAUUGGAGCGGCCGAUGGCAGAUUAGGUAGUUGGUGGGAUAAAAGCUUACCAAGCCGACGAUCUGUAGCUGGUCUGAGAGGACGACCAGCCACACUGGGACUGAGACACGGCCCAGACUCCUACGGGAGGCAGCAGCA
rnacentral:rRNA from 1 species